UGAGAGCAGGAAGCGACCACGUGACCACUGUGCAAUUUAUCAACACUCUGGACGUUUUUGUUUAUGUGUAUCCUAGCAACUGUAGUAAACAAACCAGCGGCUAAUAAUCACUGGGUGAAAAUUGUCAUUUUGCUGCAGCGCGUCGAAAGUAAUAAAGACUAAUGGAUUCUGUUCCCCCAUGUGGUGACGGCCCCUGUAACGCUCCAGUGGAAAGGAUACCCAAAAGCGCAAACCCUGAAAUGGGAGAUGCUCCCAGAAUUGUAAAAUAUUAUGUGGAUGCCAUCAUACCGAACAAUUUUAGGGGACGUCAGCUGAAUCCAGACCGAACAGUUAAAGUUAUUAGUGUCAGGGUGAUCCGAAAAAAAAGUUAGAGUUCAGACACGUAUUCUGUGAAUGAUCACCUCCAAACCUUCACCACCACCUAAAGAUAUAAAAUAUCACAAAAAUAUAAUACUUUAAUAUAUUUUAUCAUAUAUAAAAACAAAAAAUAAAAAAACAGUAAAU